UAAUAUUUAUAUCCUCAUGGACCAUACCAAAAUGGGCAAAAUAUUUAAUCAAAAGCCCAAUAAGAGAAUGUCGUAAGCCCGAUAAAAAACCAAAACCCUAGAUUGCCGAGAAAACAAAACCAUCACCGCUAUAUAACUUAGUGACUAAUCUCUCAAAUCUUAAAAUCUACAGACCGAUCUGUUCCUCCGCAGUUAUCAUCCUUCUCUUCUGAAAAAAAUCGAUUAUGGCUAAUCUAAAAGAGAUCAAUGAUGAGAUAUUAGCAGACGGGCGGUCUGAAUUGAUGCCGUGUAGAUUGUCUGCCAUCGCUACUCUUUGUAGCUUCUCUGAGUUUCUGAAUCUAUUUUCGAAUUUUUUAUACCUAUUGAUAUAGGUUCUAUAGUGGUUAUAUUGCGAUGAUGAUGUUGCUUAUAUAUAUGUCUGGACUUAUGAGAUUUUUACAAUCUUUGAAAUAAUUGUGCAACCUUCUGAGCUAUCUUUCUUUUUCUUUCUUUCAAAAUUCUGUGUUAUCUGUGUAGUUCGUUAAUUACCAAUUACAUUCUGACUAAACGAAACUUAUAUCUAGAACUGGUUAUACAUUAAAAAGGAUAAACAGCCAAGCGUGAUUUACUUUAAACAAUUAUUUGCAAAUGAUCUCAGUAGAUUUACUAUUUUUUUUAAUUAAUCUCUAAUUGGUUGAUCCUAUUCUAAUUAACUGGUAUUGAUUCGGAGUUACAACUUCUCAUGGUGCUUGGUACUUUCGGUGAUGUUAGUGAUUAUGAAAUCGGCGUUAGUAUGUUGUCUUGACCUCUCUUAAGAAUCUAAAUUGAGGACUCCUCCAUGCUAACUACGAAGCAGUUGAAGACAUGUUAGGAAGACUGUUUUUGGACCAAAAUCGUGUUUCGUAAAAUUUGGAAGAACGUCUAGAUUUUUUCGUACAGUUUCGUUUUUGCUGUAUCAGAUAAUUGCUGAAUGUUUCGGAUGUAACAAUUUUAGUACUGCAAUUCUAAUCAAAUUUCUGUAACUCUUUUUUUUUAAAUAUAAUUUCAAACAUUUUUUAAA